ACACCUUACCUAAGGAUGGAAUGGAGCUGGGUCAUCCUCUUCCUCCUGUCAGUAACUACAGGUGUUCUCUCCCAGGUCCAGCUGCAGCAGUCUGGAGCUGAGCUUGUGAGACCUGGUACUUCAGUAAAAUUGUCCUGCAAGGCUUCUGGCUAUAGUUUCAGCACCUCCUAUAUGAGCUGGGUGAAGCAGAAGCCUGGGCAGGGACUGGAGUGGAUUGGAUACAUUUAUCCUGGAGAUGGUGAAACUAGCUACAAUCAGAAGUUCCAGGGCAAGGCCACACUAACUGCAGACAAAUCCUCCAGCACAGCCUACAUGGAGCUCAGCAGCCUGACAUCUGAGGACUCUGCGGUCUAUUACUGUGCGAGAUACACAGUGCUGCAACCACAUCCUGAGUAA